rnacentral:rRNA from 1 species
CUACGGGUGGCUCCAGUGGGGAAUAUUGCACAAUGGGCGCAAGCCUGAUGCAGCCAUGCCGCGUGUAUGAAGAAGGCCUUCGGGUUGUAAAGUACUUUCAGCGGGGAGGAAGGGAGUAAAGUUAAUACCUUUGCUCAUUGACGUUACCCGCAGAAGAAGCACCGGCUAACUCCGUGCCAGCAGCCGCGGUAAUACGGAGGGUGCAAGCGUUAAUCGGAAUUACUGGGCGUAAAGCGCACGCAGGCGGUUUGUUAAGUCAGAUGUGAAAUCCCCGGGCUCAACCUGGGAACUGCAUCUGAGACUGUCAAGCUUGAGUCUCGUAGAGGGGGGUAGAAUUCCAGGUGUAGCGGUGAAAUGCGUAGAGAUCUGGAGGAAUACCGGUGGCGAAGGCGGCCCCCUGGACGAAGACUGACGCUCAGGUGCGAAAGCGUGGGGAGCAAACAGGAUUAGAUACCCUCGUAGUC